UCCUCCGAAUCUACCGCAUUAUUGUUCUACCUACGUGGCAGUGCUGUCGCAGGUUGAACAUUAACUUCGCGAAUAGUUUAUUUUUAUUUUUAACUGAAAAAGAGAUAUAUUGACACUAGCGAUGGCAAGAUAGAUCAAGGUUCCACUAAUUUGAAAAUAUUUAGAACGGACUGAAGUUAGAAUCUUCAACUUUUCUUCAAUAUUAGUUCAUUCAGUGUACGCAAAACGAGAAUUAUGACGCAACGUAUGUUUCAAUGUUAUGAGUGUAUCCAUGAUGAGUGUGAUGUGCGAUUCAAUCAAUUAUCUAUUUGCAAGUCUGAACUUAACUGCUGGAGAUCUUCCCUUAGAGAUUCCGUAGGCAACAUACUACAUUCUCGUGGAUGCGUCUUUACACCAGAACAUAACCAACAGAUUUGUAGUAAUUUAACACAGGUGGUUCACAACGAUUAUCGUUAUACAUGCUGUGACAAAGAAUUCUGCAAUAGCGAUGAAUUUCCUACACUAAGUGAUCAUCUUAGUGACGGACACUGGAUUUAUUUUAUAAUGUAUAUAUUGAUAGCAGUAUUAAUUGCAUUGUUUAUCUCAUUCGUCAUAGCUUCUAUUAUGUUACUUUAUCGUGGGAGACAUGUCCUUAGACAACCGCGACCAAGACAACCGAACGAAAUACCUUUAGAAAUGAUGCGAUUUCAGCAUAUGAACGGAAACGCCAGGAUCAUCCCUUAGAGAAGACCUGACGUUAACGUUCCAAAGUCGCUCCUGUCAAAAAUAAUAUAGUCCAGCUAAUUAUACGAAGUAUCAAGUCCUUUAUUAAUGGAACGUCGCAUCGAUCAAAGUUUGGCAGACGAUUCAGACUAAUAGGUAUUGCCUUACUGAAUCAAGGUACUUUUUCAAAGAGAUAUAUCGUAUGUGCGUAGAUGGCAGUUCGAGAUAUGGUGCCGUUUUCCGAUUAACUAGUCAAUAGCAUACCAGAGCUGACAACCAAGAAGACGCGAAAAUUAAUUGACGAUAAUCUAAGGCCUGAAAUUCCCGAUCAUUGGCAUAUGAAUCCGAAGUCAUUGAAAUCUCAGAUUCAAAACUAUUGGAUAACGAACUUAUCAGCGUAAUGGCCAAUUGGACAAGUUAACAAGACCUUUUCUUUUUUUAGUUGAAAUGAUUUUUUAAAGAUAUAUUCCAUUUAAUUUUAAUAUUUUUCAAUAUACUGUAGCCUUAAAACUUAACAAUAUUUUGAAUUUUGUAAUGUCGAAAUUCAUAUUCCAAUUUAUUAUUCAAACUAGAUCUACUAAACAGUGAAUAAUAGCAAUAAUUUAGAAAAAAAAAAUAAUUUUUAUCGAUAAAUGUGCGAAUCUAGUUUAUACGUUUAUUCGUUAAUGAUCAAAAUCUAACUGAAUAUACAUUGUGACUUGCGUAAAUCCUUUUGCGUUGAGUGAUUUAUUAUGUAACUUAUUGUAAUAAGACCAUGAGUUAGCCAAUACCAAAUUCAAAUGAAUAUUCAUUCGUCAAGAUACAAAAUAAUAAUAAUCAUGUAAGCAAACAAAUAAUCACUUUCUUCGACUUUCUUUCAAUCAUGAAUGAUUUUUAAUCAUCGUUGUAACUAUAUUACUAUAUUGCAGAAACUAAAAAUAUGAUUUUCUCCAUUUAAUUUUAUUCACAUUCUCU